UUUAGUGCUUCUGCCAAGGAACUAAUAGUUAGAUUUUGAUCUCAGUCAUUUUUUCACGUCCAUCGCUGUUUGCUAUUAUAUGCAAAACCUUUUUAGCUUGUUUUAGUAUCCCAGAUCCUAAAACACAAGUCUACCAGAUCAGAUCAGGUCAGAUUGAAGACGUUCUCUGUAUGUUUAACAUGAAUUUGGCCUUCUGAACCUCGCACAGCUAAACAGUGUUGCAGUAUUGUUUGAGGUGGUUCAUGAGUGUUUAAAGUCAACAUGAAAAGUCAGCAUUCAUAACUUGUAUUACUUGCAUAGAAAGAGACAAUUUCCGAAUGUGGGGUGGGACUUGAUUGAAUGGUGGAUGGUGAAGUUGACUAUACUUUUAAUGAACGUUGCAAUCAGCUGCCACACGCUUUUAACUGGUUUGGUGGCUGAAUGUUGAAUUUACCCGGUCGUAGUGCUUCUAAAUUAUGGCGUUAACUACUAGCAAGAUUUUUAGAAAGGCUGGGUUGCAUACAACAGUAGCCUAAAAGUCAGGCUAAAAAAUUUAUUUGCCUUUUUACGUCAUUCAAAAGCUUUAGUCUGACUGAAGUUGUAUCUGACUACAGUUGGCCUUGUACUUAAUGACUAUGGCUAUUGUUCGAGGAUGGGCUUGGUUCAAUCCAUCGGUUGUUGACUGGAUGGAGGCAGAUCUUAAUGCAAGCUUGCAGUCGAUUGUAUAUGAAUUAAAAGGGCUGUCUGUGUCUGUCUGAUGUCUGUAAUUUCUCCAAUUUGCCAAAAAGUAAAAUAGCUACAAAUUGCCAUUAGGUUGUUGCUGUAGCCUUGAUGAAAUCAUCCAAAAAAAAAAAAGGGAUGUUAAGGCAGAGCAAGUUAUUACAUUUUAAUGAAAGGCUACAGAGACACAUUUUUAUUGUCUUUCGUUCUGUGGAAUAAUGUGCAUGGAUGAAUCAGUCGUAUUAUGAACAGGAGUGUGUAUUUAGAAAGGUCGAAUAGGCUUUCGAUUUCAUGUUGACUUUAUGCUACUUAAAACUAAUUUCUGAGUUUUCUGUAAUGGAAGUAGUUUUACUUUGUGUUCCUCUAUAGAAGAACUGUUCAUUUAGAAAUAGCACAGAUAAGAUUUUAGGCUUGAUAUUGGUUGCUAAAAGUAGCCUAGGACAGCAGGGUAGCAUUUAUCAACGUGUUGAGACAGUAAGUGUGUGUGUGUGUGUGUGUGUGUGUGUGUGUGUGUGUGUGUUGUGUCCUCAUUGGCUUGGGACGGGAGGGGAGGGUGAAUCUAACCCCCAUCCCUUCUCUUCCCUCCCUUUCUCCUGCUGUUUCAUAACUCUCUCCUUUCUAACACCAUGUUCUACUUCUCACUGUCAUCUCCUCCCCCACCACUGUCCUUUGCUUAAAUCUUUAUACCUCUUUUGUCCUUGUUUUUCUUUGUUCUGGUGUCUUUCUUUCCCUUUCCACCCAUGACGUCACACUUGUCAUAAACACCACUUCCUCUUUCACACACUUGUAACAUUAUUAUCUGCACCACCCUGGUCUUGUCAACGUUGCUGUAUGUGUCUUCACACAAUCUUAACCCGGUGAACCUGCACGCUCCUCUCCCACCCCUCCUCACCUUCCCCCUGCUUCCACUGGUUGUCCUAGCCGAUGGGAAUUUUUGUGGACGACGAGACCAAGCUGAUGCUUCACGGCCUCCAGCAGUACUACAUCAAGCUGAAGGACAACAAGAAGAACAGGAAGCUCUUUGACCUCCUGGACGUGUUGGAGUUCAAUCAGUUGAACAAACACGAUAAAGACGACCACAAAAGGCAGCAGUUUCUUCGGAGGAUUCAUGGCAUUGUAGCAACAGAGAGUUUGUCUGUCACAUAGACUGUUAUGGUGUUAGUGAAUAAACAGUUUAUAUCACAGUGUUAUCAUAUAAUCUAGUGGAUUUUCUAAUACCUCCUCAGUAGUUCAGUUUUGAUUUUGCUUGUUGACCGUAAAAAAAUACAUUAUUUUCAAUGUUAAUAUUUUUACUCCCAAUACAAAUAAUUUGCUUGUUUUUGAAUUUUGGUUAUUUAUAAUGCAGAGGCAUAAUUUUUGUUUUCUGUUGUGAGAGGAGGCGUUUUCAUCAUUGGAUUUAAAUGGACCAUAUAGUUAA